GAGUUUGAUCUUGGCUCAGAUUGAACGCUGGCGGCAGGCCUAACACAUGCAAGUCGAACGGUAACAGGAAACAGCUUGCUGUUUCGCUGACGAGUGGCGGACGGGUGAGUAAUGUCUGGGAAACUGCCUGAUGGAGGGGGAUAACUACUGGAAACGGUAGCUAAUACCGCAUAACGUCGCAAGACCAAAGAGGGGGACCUUCGGGCCGUCUUGCCAUCGGAUGUGCCCAGAUGGGAUUAGCUAGUAGGUGGGGUAACGGCUCACCUAGGCGACGAUCCCUAGCUGGUCUGAGAGGAUGACCAGCCACACUGGAACUGAGACACGGUCCAGACUCCUACGGGAGGCAGCAGUGGGGAAUAUUGCACAAUGGGCGCAAGCCUGAUGCAGCCAUGCCGCGUGUAUG
rnacentral:rRNA from 1 species